AUGGAGUGUGGCACUUGGCCGAGAAACUGGCAGUUAGACACUGCUGUCAGUGUUCAGUAUCCUGUAUUGCAGGAUCGGACUCCGGGAGAGGCGCCACUGGCCACUGACCCUGCAGAGCGCAUGUUGACGUGGGCCGUUAUCUCGUCUUCAGCCCUGAGCCCAGCAGAUCAUCACGCUCAUCAUGCAGUGCUGCUUGUCUGCUUCUUGGCAUGUCUAAACUCACAGAAAGGGGCCACCCCCACCUUUCCCCAUCUUUACGGCCCCAGCGACCAGUGUGAGUGUGUGUCUGCCAGUAGGUCCAUUUUAUCCCCCAUCAGAGAGACUGAUUGUGAAAAAGAGGGGGGCUUUAAAGUGUAAACCAUGUGAAAAAACAAAGGGCUUAGGCAAAUCAGAUAGCUUCAACAACAACAAACACACAUCCACUAAUCUGCUUAGGGAAAUUAAUGAACAGGAGAAGAGAAUACCCCAACAUCUGCAUCUCUCGCUCUUGCAAAUGGAUGGAGCAAGGGAUGGAAGGAUAACGAUCCCGUGACCGCCGGGAGGAGUUAGUGCAAUGGAUCAGGCUGAAGGUGAGAAUGCUGCUGUUUGCGUGCAUGUGUGUGUGUGCGGAGGGUGGGAUUAGUGGCAAGCUCCCACCAGAAUCAAACAGGACUCUGCCAAAGGCAUCUCUUCCCUCCCAGCCCAAACUUCAAAAACUCCACCCUAAGCUGGAAGUAGGUGUCUGUAAUCCACUCUGCAGAGGAAAAUCUAUGCAGCAGGCGCACUGCUCAUCCUUUCAUCCUCGCGCCCGUUCGGUCUUGCUCACUUUUCUCGUUCUUACUCUCCCGCAUGUCCUGGGAACAUAAACUUUUGCACUGUGCCCUCUCUGGGAUCUCAGUGCGCAUUGCUCUGAUGAUUUAAUUAUGGAUAGCUUGGUAUGCUACAAUAUAGAGACUGAAAAAUUAUCAGAACUCAUGUUAUUCAUUAAAUUAUUGCUAUUUUAAUAGCUGCCAUUCUUGCUGUUAUAUUGUUGAAGUUUUCUUAUGUAUGAUUGUUAAAAUGUAUGCCUUUAUUAAAACCAACAAUAAAUAUUCAUAAUAAUCGUGUGUUAGCCCAAAAUUGUCAUUUACUCGCCCUCAGUUUAAAGAUGUUUAACAUGUUUAACAAAUUAACAUGUUUUGCUGCCCAAUAUUUUUUUUUUUUUUUUAAUGGCACUGUUUAACACUGUUAGAGACUGCAGAAAUGUUUUGCCGAUGGUAGCAUGUAAUUAUUCAUCCACAUUGUGUAAAUUUCUCUAGUUUGGGAUGGUUUACCAAUGUUGUUCCACUACUUUUUGACUUUCUUUCUUCUGUAACCAUACAAUGAAAGUCAAAAUAUCUUCUUUUGCAUUCCACAGAAAAAAAGAAAGUCAGUUUUGGAACAUUUGACAUUUGGGGGAGUAAAUGAUGACAAAAAUGUAAUUUUGGGAAAAAAUAUCCCUUAAGAAGUAAAGAAAUAUAUAUGAUAAUAUAUGACAAAAACUAAGGCGGCUGAAUAAUGAUAUAUGUCACCAUCUACAAAACUUCUUGCACUCAUAUCAGUAUUAAAGAUUCCAAUUCAAAUGAAAUAUUGGGCAGCAAAACACAUUAAUACUUAAACAUCUUCAGAUUCUGUUCUUUUCACACAGGUCUGUCUCCGCUCAUCUCACGGUUGUCCUCAUUGAGAGGCUGGUGGAUCGAUGGCUUUUUAAAUGGCUCUGAGGCUUACCGUCAGAGUGCAGGACAAUCAUUCUGUGCUGCUCUAUUUCAUGACUCCUAUCCCACUUGAUGGAAUUUAUUUUCACUUUUAUACUCCCAUUUCAUUUUAAGUUGAAUGUUACAUAAUAGGAUGUGGAUUUGAAAGGUUAUGAAGGAGUCGAAGCUUUCCACAAAGGACAAGAGACAUCCACAGACAAAUAAGGCAAAUCAAAACUUUCUCCUUUUUUAUAAGUAUUAAAAGUUUUUGUUUUUUUUUUCAAGCAAGGAUAGAAGAAACAAAAUCUCAUUCGACACAUUCCAUAUAUUUUCAUGUUUUCAGCAAAUCGCAACCUUGGCGUCAGUCACAGUCGUGUUUCAUAUUUAUGUUGCAUAGCCAGAGGAUAUUUAUCCACAGGAGCACGGGGACUGGCAAGCACUCGCACUCAAUGUGCUGUUAACAGGGGCUACUUACUAAUUGCGGCGUCCCAUGGAAGAGCAAGUAAACCUAAAGCGCUAACGUGCGUAAUUAUGCUGUAAUUGCUGGUAAUUAUAGUUCUAAAGCUAGCACACCUCUCAGCAGCCUGCGGGCAGGUAUAUUCCAUGCCUCCCCCAACUCUAGAUCAAGAGCCUAGAUAGGUCUUGCACGGAAAAAAGGGAUUAGUUUUCCGCAGCAGCGUUCAUGGAGAGUCUCUGGUACCCGCUUGUCAGAUUUGUGGUUUUUGUUCAUUUUUCAGAUGCGAUUUCACACACCGAAAGCAUAAACAUGUAGAGAAAACACAGGAAUGUUGAAGAACUCCUCCAUGAGGGGAAACAGGUUAGCGCUGCAUCUCUGACAAUGCUCAGCACAAAAAGUGCUUUUUGUGGCUAUUUGUGUCACUUCUGUGUAUGUAUGUGCGUGCGUGUCUGUAUGACGGCUCUUUGUGUGUGUCCUCUGGUGUUUGGGAGCUAAACUGCCGUGCUGUGCUGGUCUCAUUAGUGAGCCCCCACUGGGGUGCUUCAUGAAGACAUAUGGGCAGGGAGAGAGCCCUCUGCCAGACUGCAUCCUCUGAGCCUGUCAGCUAGUAUCUCAGCCCAGCCUAAUCCCUGCUUUAAUUUACUCCAGUCCACCAGGCAAGCAGCAACCAACACCGGCCUCUGGGGUGCCUUCACUUCAGCCGCCGGUGACAAGGAAUAUGUAAAGGCCCAAUUUCUCAUCCGGCAGGGUGACACGACGCAGUUCCGCCUGGGAACGCACCCCCGGAAUCGUGCCAUCUCUUACAGUCAGUCAUCUAGUCGCCAGGCCCUCGCUGAGCGCUCUACAGAGGACUUUUUAUUAACAUGUUGAUCGAAGAAGCCAUUAAAGUGGAAAUGGUGAGGCCGAGAGGAUGCGCUUAUUGAUUUGCAGAGUAACAAAGCCAGAGGAGACUCACGCAAGAAGAUUUUUUUUCUCCUCCCCUCGCUCUCUGCAACUUUCUCUUGCUCUCUCCCUCUACCUCUUUUUUUUUUUUAUUUUUUUUUUAAAGAGCGACUUUGAUAUACUUAUAUGGAGUGAAUCAAAAGUUCUUUUUUCUCCUCCUUCUAAAUCCAAUUCACUCCUUAUUUUCCUCAGUCUACUAAUUUUCAGCAGGAAUGUGCCGAUAGGGAGCCACUGUUGACGGACUAAAGUAAUUGCUAUCAGCCUGUCAUUAGACUCUGGGGUCUCUCUCUCUCUCUCUCUCUCUCUCUCUCUCUCUCUCUCUCUCUCACCCCACAGGGUUGAGCUCCGUCUUGCUUACAAAUAAGACACUUAGGAGAGGAGAGGAAUGCAUUCCGUGAUGGAUUGGAUUUUUUACGGUCAGAGCAGCUCUCCACUGCCUUUUCACUUGCUUUUUCAUCCUUGCUACCAUUCUCUCUCCUCUCAGUCCAUCUCUCUCUCUCUCUCUCUCUCUCUCUCUCUCUCUCUGCGCCUUUCAGGGUAUCAUUUGCAAUUUAAUGCUCACCUGGGGUGAGCCCUGACAAUAGCCUCCACCGUGAAAUGCUCUCGGUCUUGGCCGCAUGGCUAAUGAAGUUGAUGUUGAGCUAUUUAGGUCAUUGUCCCUCUACAAUAACUGCUUAAUGCAGCUCAGAGGGAGUGGAUUGUUGGAGCGGGUAAAGAUUCUAUUAAGUCCUUUCAAAAGCCUCCCCAUUCCUCUGUCCUCAGAAUACUGGACCGACUAUUUCUAGGGUUGAAUUUCACUUUGGGAAAGGUCUGUCAUUAAAAACUAGUAGUAAAUAAGGAAUAAUGCUAUUUAGGGAGAUCCGAGUAAUGCACUGAAUAUAUGAUCUUUAAAAAAAAUAUCUUAUUAUAGAUGUAAUAUGUAAAUUAUCUAUGAAUUAUCUGAGCUACAUUAGGUGUCAAGACAAAAAUAUUUAUUUAAAAUAUAUUGAAUGAAGAAAAAAUAAUCUUGAAUGAACAUCUGUUUAACGUGC
ensembl:lncRNA